UAUCAAUGUCUAUUCUUUGUGAACCUUUCA
rnacentral:piRNA from 1 species